UCGACAUGUUCGGUGCUUACUAGUGGUUCAGCUUGCGACUAGCAGGGUCUUCAGCUCGGGCUCUUUGGUCGACUCGCUGACCUGUCGCCGAUAUAGCACUACAAGAAAAUCCUCAUUCAACAACACUCAAACGACAACAGUUUUAUGCCUUGUUUUACCUUUUAACAACGGUUUUAACAAAAACCGUUGUCUUUUAGUAGUUUUUUUGGCCUACGACAACGGUUUUUAAAAACCAUUGUCUAUUUAUGCUUUUUUGAGACUACAACAACGGAUUUUAAAGGCUACGAUAACAGUUUUUGAAAACUGUUGUCUAUUUGUGUUUUUUUUGUGAUUACGACAACGGUUUUUGAAAACCGUUGUCUAUUAAGUGAUGUUGAAUACUGGAGUUUUUUUUUUCCUUCGUCGUUUUCCCCCUUUGCCAAUUUUUGCCGCCGCGUUUUUUCUUUCCCUCUCCCCAAAAUUUUUUACCGCCGCAUUCCCCCUUUACCUUCUCGAUCCCUAAGCAUUUCCAUCUCUCUUUCCUCACAAUCUCUCACUCACUGGAGCAAUGCAGGAGCAGCAGCAGCCGGGAAGAGCAAUCGCAGGGCGACAGCGAGGGUCUAGAUCAUGGGAGCGUGUGCAACAGAUCCGACCACGGAGGAUGACGUCGGGGAACAAGGCAGCGACCUAUGAUCGACGCUAGACGAGACUCGCCAGAGAUCGACCAUGGCAUCUUUCACCCUGCUCCACUCCUCCUCGCCUCCUUUUUCUUCCCUCCGACGGUAGUCAGUCACUUACGGUUCUGUUACUUUCCACUACUGUCUCUUCGUGUUUUCAUUCCGCCAUCGUCUUCCUCUUCAUCGAUCAAUCAUGGCAUCUUCCACUGUCAUCGGAUUCAUGGGGCUCGACGAGCUCGGCUUAGAGAUAGCUUCCUUGCUUGUCAAGUCCGGGUUUCGCCUCCAAGCAUUCGAGAUGGUCGAGUUGUCUCUGAUGAGCAGGUUCGUGGAGUUGGGCGGAGUGAAGUGCGCAAGCGCUAUGGAAGCUGCAAUGGGUCAGUGAGUAAUAUUGUUUUCUAUUACUGGUUCCUCCAAGUUGUACUAUGAUCUAGUUGCUAGAGAAUGGUUAUUAACCCUUUUCUAGUGAAGCGACUUGUGAAAAAUAUCAACAUGCAUUGCUGUUGAAGCAAGGAAAAACCUGGCCAUCCAAAAAUGUUUGUUAAUUUGGGAGAGAGCACUUCCUCAAUAUAAUCAGCACAAUCCCACUAUUCCAUGUGAGAUUAUGGGUGUGGUGUACCUUAACUUCUAUAGUUUCCCUUAUGCUCAUCAAUGACUUAGAGUUUGGCUAACUGAGUUGGAGCAAUUCCAUUCAAAAUGGCUACUCACUUGAGAUUGAAAUGUAAGCACUAAGGGGAUUGCUGCACUCUUCCACGUGGAACAAUGGGCGAGGAGCAUCAAUCCCCUCAUGCUCAUUUAAAGUCGUAGAGAUCGAGCGGAUCGAAUAAAUACUUGCAAUGCCGAAUGGAAAGGUUAGUUUGCAUCUAGUUUAGCUUUUUCCCUCUUAAUGGAACAUUCUUAAGAUAGAAAUGAGUGCAAAAUAAGUCUCUUAAUAUCUUAGUUGUCUCGGAAGAAGUCUAUUGUGUCACUUGUGUUGGGCUACUGUAUAAUUUGAAUACUUAAUUCUAUAUUUUUCCCUCUGCUUGACGUUAUAAUUGUUCCUCUUUGAAAGUGCCCUUAAUCUUAGUCCUUCAUCUCCUAUUGACUUUAUUCACAGAUUAUUAGUCUUGAUGAAACGCAUACCUCUUGGGCGCUUGACAAAUAAGUAGAUUAGAAAUCUUUGUUUUCUUAAACACACUAAUAGUUUUAUUUUGUUUCCAGAAACUUGAUGGUGAAACAAGACCUAUUAGAGCUUAGUUUAUGCAAUGCUACAACAGAUUUAUCCGAGAAUCCCUUGAUCCUUCCUUUGAGAUAAUAAUUGUUGAUUAAGAAUCACCCACUAGUGGGAAUUACAUGAAGCCCUUGAUCAAGUUGUAUUCACUGUUGCUUGAAUAAGUUGAUUAAAGUUGCAAGUUGAGCCUGCACUUUCACUAAGACUAGAAAUUUUAUCCUUUAAUCAAGUAGUAGCUUCUUGAUGGAGUUUAUUUAGCAUAUGAAACUCAUUUAAGAUUUAUGUCUGUUGUUCAAUGCUUUUUUGACCUCAUACUUGUUAUAAUUUUUGGUUUAUAAUGCAUUGGACCUUAUUUAACAUUGUUUAAAUUUUAAAGUGUGUAUUUAAAUAGAUAUAUAACAAGUAGCUUUAUUGAAGAAACUAUAGUGCUAAAGAGGGACAUUAUUGCAGUCAUUCAAAGGUUCAAUAUCCAAGUUAGCAAUUUGACUCAAGAUGUCCUUGGAAAGUCUAGUUCAACUGUUUAUGCCAUUGCAUUGUUAGCCUCUGGACAGAGCUCUACAAUAACUGGUACAUACGCUGGGCCAUCAUGCAGGAUUUUCUAAACAUGAAGAUGAAAAAUGGCUGAGGAAUCUCAUGACUCAAUCAAUCGCAAUCACUCCAAGUCUCAUCGUGUCCAUCAUCGAUGGUUCCUCAGGAGCCGGACGGCUCAUCAUAAUCUCAUCGAUGGUACUAUCAUUUGAGUUGCCAUUUGCACUCUUACCUCUUCUCAAAUUCAGCAGCAGUCAAACAAAAAUGGGACCUAAUAAAAUCUCAAUAUAUAUCAUUGUGGUGUCAUGGAUUCUUGGUUUGCUUCUGGUAGCAAUCAACAUCUACUUCUUAAGCACCAGCUUUGUCAGUUGGAUCAUUGAUAGCAGCCUACCAACAGUUGCUAAUGUUCUCAUCAGCAUCAUUGUUUUCCCUCUCAUGGCAGUGCACAUUCUUGCUGUGAUCUACUUAACCUUCAAGGAGACUGAAGUAACAUUCGUCGACCCAUUCAAUUCUUCACAUGUUAACAUAGAGAGUGGUGGUUCAUUUCAAGUUGAUGGAAUGAGUAUAUCUGAAGUUG